rnacentral:lncRNA from 1 species
UUUUGUUAUUUUGACUGUGGGUACUGAUGGAAAACUAUACCAUGUAUCAACUACUAUUGGUUAGGCUUUCUUAUUUAACUACACUAAAUACACGUUUAUAUAAAAUACCAAAAUUUGAUUUUUACUAUUUUGGGCUGAGAAUGGGGCUUUAGGGCCUUUGAUAAGAAUCAAUCGAUAACGUUAUUAAAUCCAUGCUUCAAAUAGAUAAAAACUGAUAGGAAUCAGAGAACUUCAGAUGUUUUAGUGAGCUGGUGAGAAUGGUUUAAAUGGGCUGCGAGAUGGGUCAAAUGGGCUGCAAAGGUGACUAAAUUUUUUUAAUUUCAAACCCAAUCCGAAAUGACAUGGCUGAAUGAUUGGUGAUGAUUUUUUUUGCCUAUGUGGCAGUGUUUAGGGAGCUUUAAUUUAGC